rnacentral:rRNA from 1 species
GAUGAACGCUGGCGGUAUGCUUAACACAUGCAAGUCGAACGGACUCUUCGGAGUUAGUGGCGGACGGGUGAGUAACGCGUGAGAAUCUGGGUUUGGGUUCGGGACAACCACUGGAAACGGUGGCUAAUACCGGAUGUGCCGAGAGGUAAAAGAGAAAUUGCCUGAAGAUGAGCUCGCGUCUGAUUAGCUAGUUGGUGAGGUAAGGGCUCACCAAGGCAGCGAUCAGUAGCUGGUCUGAGGGGAUGACCAGCCACCCUGGGACUGAGACACGGCCCAGGCUCCUACGGGAGGCAGCAGUGGGGAAUUUUCCGCAAUGGGCGAAAGCCUGACGGUGCAAUACCGCGUGAUGGAAGAAGGCUCUUGCGUUGUAAACCUCUUUUCUUAGUUAAGAACAAAAUGACGGUACCUAAGGAAUCAGCAUCGGCUAACUCCGUG